rnacentral:rRNA from 1 species
GAUGAACGCUGGCGGCGUGCCUAAUACAUGCAAGUCGAGUGAACAGAUGAGGAGCUUGCUCCUCUGACGUUAGCGGCGGACGGGUGAGUAACACGUGGAUAACCUACCUAUAAGACUGGGAUAACUUCGGGAAACCGGAGCUAAUACCGGAUAAUAUAUUGAACCGCAUGGUUCAAUAGUGAAAGACGGUUUUGCUGUCACUUAUAGAUGGAUCCGCGCCGCAUUAGCUAGUUGGUAAGGUAACGGCUUACCAAGGCAACGAUGCGUAGCCGACCUGAGAGGGUGAUCGGCCACACUGGAACUGAGACACGGUCCAGACUCCUACGGGAGGCAGCAGUAGGGAAUCUUCCGCAAUGGGCGAAAGCCUGACGGAGCAACGCCGCGUGAGUGAUGAAGGUCUUCGGAUCGUAAAACUCUGUUAUUAGGGAAGAACAAAUGUGUAAGUAACUAUGCACGUCUUGACGGUACCUAAUCAGAAAGCCACGGCUAACUACGUG